UUUAUUUCCUACUUAUAGGUGAGAAUAUGUGGUAUUUGGGUUUCUGUUCCUUCAUCAAGUUGCUUAAGAUGAUGACCUUCAGCUCCAUCCAUGUUGCUGUAAAGGACAUGAAUUCAUUCGUUUUUACAGGUUUUUUUUUCCAGAGUGGGUGUACCAGUUCACAAUCCCAAUAGAAAUGAUGUAAGAAGCAGGACACAACUCCAGAGGUGGGGCUCAGACAUGGAACCAGAUUGAGGACAAGUUAACACAGGGCCUGGUAAGAAGCAGUUUUCUAAUUAGACAUGCCCACCAAUGUGCCAUGUCAAUUUAUCAUUCCAAUGGCAACACCCAGCUUUUACCGACUCUUUACAUGGCUAUGACCCAAUGACCCAAGUUACUACCCCUUCCCUAGAAAAUUCUGCAUAAACCACGCCUUAAUCUGCAUGCAAUUAAAAGUGGGUAUAAAUAUGACUGCAAAGCUGCCCUGAGCUACGGUGGUCUGCCUACUACUGGGUAGCCAUGCUCUGCAGGAGCAGUCAUGGAGCUGUAACUCCAUCAGACUGUAACACUGCCUCUUCAAUACAACUGUUUUCUUCUACAUCUGGCUUGCCUUUGAAUUCUUUCCUGGGCAAGGCCAAGAACCCUCACAGGCUAAACUCCACUUUGGGGCUAGUUUGCCCUGUAUGAGAAAUGUUUGAGUCCAGUUCCUCUACAUCCUAACUCACAUUUGACACUGGCAUUGAUUUUUUAUGUAUUUAUCGAUUUUGUUCUGUAUUGUUUUGCCACUUGGAUAGGUGUGUAUGCCUGGUUCAUUUUGAUUACUGUAUGUAUGGUUCAUUUUGGGUUUCUCCAGUGUCUGAUGAUGUUGAACAUCUUUGCAUGUGCUUACCUGCCACUGGGACAUCUUCUUCAAUGAAAUGUAUCUUGCUGUUUUUUGCUCAUGUCAUAAUUGGGUUUUCUUUUGAGAAUUCUUUACAUAUUGUAGAUACUAUCCAUUUGUCAAAUACAUGGCUAGCAAACAUUUUCUUCCCAUAUGUAGCUUUGUUUCACUCUUUAUAGAGUGAAAUAUUUAGAUUUCAAUGAAGUCCAAUUUGUCAUUUUUCCCUUAUGGUUCAUGCUUUUGAUGUAAACAAUAAGGAUUCUGUCCAUCAUAGAUUCCAAGUAUUUGUUCUAUAUUUUUAGCUACAAGUUUCACACUUUUACAUUUUACAUUUAAUCUGUGGCUUAUUAUGAGUUAAAUUUUGUAUAAAAUGUGAGAGGUUUGAAGGUUGAGUUCUUAUUUAUUUUUUACUAGUAGCAGCAGCACAAUAAAAUAUCUGCAUGAGCUUUUGUGACUUGCCAAAACAGCCAUGCUAGAGAUUGUUUAGCACCACAAAAAGAAAAUAAUGGAAGACACAGUGGAGAAGAGGUGGAGCAAGAUGAUGGAAUGGAAAACCCCAACAAUUCUGCCCUCCACAGGAACACCAAGUUCAACAACUAUCUACACACACACACACACACACACACACACACACCCACACACACAUCUUCGUAAGAAUCAAUAAUAAAGUGAGCACUCACAGUACCUGGUUUUGACUUCAUAUUUUUCAAAGAGGCACUGGAGAGGGAAAGAAAGACAGUCUUCAACUGUCAAUGCUACCCCUUCCCCUAUCAUCCCACAGUGCCCUCAUGCUGCAGAGAAAUCUGUGCACUUGGAAGAGGGAGAGUGCAGCAAUUGUAAGACUUUGCAUUGAACUCAGUGGUGCCCGGUCACAAGGGAAAAUGAAACUGGGCAUAACUCAGCUGAUACCUGACCACAGAGAGAGCAUUCAGACCAGUCCUAGACAGAGGGGAAUUGCCCAUCCUAGUGGUCAGAACUUGAGUUCCAGCAGGUCUUGCAAAUGUGAACUGAAGUGCUCUGGGGCCAUAAAUAGACUGGAAAGGCAGUCUAGUCCACAAGGACUGCAAAUAAACUGAAAGGCAGUCUAGUCCACAAGUCCUAGAGCUGAACUAGGCUCAGAGCCAGUGGACUUGGAGGGCAUGCCAACUACUGAGAUACCAGCCAGGGCAGCUAAGGGAGUGUUUGUACCACCUCUCUCCCAGGCCCAGGUAGCUCAUGGCUCCAAAAGAGACCCCUUUCUUCCUCUUGAGGAGAUGACAGGAAAUAAUAAAGAAGACUUUGUUCUUGCAUCUUGCACACUUGUUCAGCCACAGUAGGAUAGGGCAUCAGUCAAAGUUGUGAAGCCCUAAUUCCAGGUGCUAGUUCCUGGAUGACAAUUCUAGACACACAGUAGGCCAGAAGGAAACCCACUACCUUGGAGGGAAGGACCCAGUCCUGGCAAAAACCAUCACGUGCUGACUAAAAAGCCCUUGGGACCUGAAUAAACAGCAGUGAUAAUGAGAUAGUACAACAUGGGCUUUGGGUGAGAAUCUGAGAUGGCUUCAGGUGAGACCCAGCACAUUCCCAGUUGUGAUGGCUGUGGUAAGAGACUCCUUCUUCAUAAGAAAAGCAGAGUGAAAAGUAAAGUAGACUUCAUCUUGCACCUUAGAUACCAGCUUGGCCACAGUAGAGUAGCAUACCAAGCAGACUCUUGAAUCCCCUUAUUCCAGGCCUUGGCUAUUAGAUGGCAUUUCUGGACCUUCCCUGGGCCAGAAGAGAACUUACUGCCCUGAAGGGUGAGUCCCAGGCCUGGCAGCAUUCACCAAAAGCUGACUGAAGAGGCUUUGAGCCUUAAGUGAACAUCGGUGGUAUCCUGGCAAUACUCCCUGUGGGCCUCUGGUGGUGUUGGCCAUGUGGUGAGGCUCUUUUGCCUGUGGAAAGGGGAGGGAAGAGUAGGAAGGACUGUGUUUCAUGGUUUGAGGGCCAGCUUAGUCACAGUGGAAUGAAACACCAGGUAGAUUUCUAAGGUUGUUGGCUCCAGUCCCUAGCUCCUAGAAGGCAUCUCUGGACCUGUGUGAAAUCAGAGGGAACUCACUGCCCUGAAGAAAAGCACGUAAGGCUGGCUGGCUUUGCUUCCUGAUGAUAGUAGAGCCCUAAAGCCUUGAGAAAACAUAGACAGUAGCCAGGUAAUGGCUAUAGCAGACCUUGGGGGAGAUCCAGUGUUGUGCUGGCUUUAAGUCUGACCCAGUGCAGUUUUAAGGGUGGUGAUCACAGGAGUACUUGUGUCACCCAAUCCCUAGCACCAGAUGGCUCGUCACAGAGAGAGAGUCUGUUUGUUUGGGAGAAAGUAAGGAAAGACAAUGAGAUUAUGUUUCUGGUAAUCUGGCAAUUUUUUUCGGAUCUUAUCUAAGAAUAUCAAGGUGGUACCUCUAAGGGUCUUCAAGAACCACAGCAUUACUGCAUUUGGGCUGCCCUGUUACUGUAGACAUGUCUAGAUUACAACACCCAAGUCUUUUUUAAUACCUGGAAAGCAUUCCCAAGAAGCAUGAGUACAAACAAGCCCAGACAGAAGAUAACAAUAAGUGCCCAAACACCAACAAACAUCAACAGGCAUCAAGACCAUUAAGGAAAACAUGUUAUAACCAAACAAACUAAAUAAGGCACCAAGGACGAAUCUUGGAGAAACAGAGCUAUGUGACAUUUAGACAGAGAAUUCAAUAUGGCUGUAUUGAAGAAACUCAAGGAGAGUCAAGAUAACACAGAGAAGGAAUUCAGAAUUCUAUUUGAUAAAUUUAACAAAAAGAUGGAAAUAAUAUUUAAAAAUCAAACAGAAAUUCUGGAGUUGAAAAAUGCAAUUGACAUAUUGAAUAAUGCAUACUAGUCUCUUAAUAGCAGAAUUGAUCAAG
rnacentral:lncRNA from 1 species